UGGGGAAUCUUGCGCAAUGGUCUAACGACUGACGCAGCGACGCCGCGUGAGGGAUGAAGCUUUUCGGAGUGUAAACCUCUGUUGCUCGGGACGAAUAAUCGGAUUUCUCCGAUUUGACGGUACCGGGUGAGGAAGCACCGGCUAACUCCGUGCCAGCAGCCGCGGUAAUACGGGGGGUGCGAGCGUUGUCCGGAAUCACUGGGCGUAAAGGGCGCGUAGGUGGUCUUGUAAGUCUGUGGUGAAAGCCCGGGGCUCAACCCCGGGUCUGCCGCGGAUACUGCGAGACUUGAGUACUGUAGAGGCUGGUAGAAUGCCGGGUGUAGCGGUGGAAUGCGUAGAGAUCCGGCAGAAGACCGGUGGCGAAGGCGGCCAGCUGGGCAGUAACUGACACUGAGGCGCGACAGCGUGGGGAGCAAACAGG
rnacentral:rRNA from 1 species